UGGAACUGAAUUUUGAAGUUGGACUAUUCCAGAUAUUUCAAGUGCAUACACCCUGAAGUAUAAACGAAAGAAUGGAGGCUCCAAUGUAAUGGAGGAAUUACAUUUUUUAAAGUUUCAAUCUGCAAUACCUCAAUCUUUCUACCAAGACCUUGAUCUCUGAUGUGGAACUUCGUCAAAUGCUGUCUGAAAAUGUAAGAGCACACUCUUCCCUGCAUGGAGACAAAGCCAGAAUCUUCCUUGAAAGGCAGGAGGGUGCUGAAUGAAUAAACAUUGGCAUUUUG